CCUACGGGGUGCAGCAGUGGGGAAUAUUGCACAAUGGGGGUAACCCUGAUGCAGCGAUGCCGCGUGAGUGUAGAAGUACUUUGUUAUGUAAAGCUCUAUUAGCAGGGAAGAAAAAGACGGUAUCUGAGUAAGAAGCUCCGGCCAACUACGUACCAGCAGCCGCGGUACUAAGGAGCGGGCAAGCGUAAUCCGGAUUUACUGGGUGUAAGGGGAGCGUAGACGGCAGUGCAAGUCUGGAGGGAAAGGCAGGGACUAAACUCCCGGAGUGCUCUGGAUACUGUACGGCUGGAGUGCAGAAGAGGUGAGUGGAAUUGCUAGUGUAGCGGUGAAAUGCAUAGAUAUUAGGAGGAACACCAGUGGCGAAGGCGGCUUACGGGACUGUAACUGACGUUGAGGCUCGAAAGCGUGGGGAUCAAACAGGAUUAGAUACCCGUGUAGUC
rnacentral:rRNA from 1 species